AGGAGUUUUCGGAUCCUGGCGUCAGGAUGAACGCUGGCGGCGUGCCUAACACAUGCAAGUCGAACGGGCUCGGAUUGAACCAGUGAUUCCGAGUUAGUGGCGGACGGGUGAGUAACGCGUGGAUAACCUGCCGUAUGCAGGGGGAUAACAGUUGGAAACAGCUGCUAAUACCGCAUAAGCGCACAGUACCGCAUGGUACGGUGUGAAAAGAUUUAUCGGCAUACGAUGGAUCCGCGUCUGAUUAGCCAGUUGGCGGGGUAACGGCCCACCAAAGCGACGAUCGGUAGCCGGCCUGAGAGGGCGGACGGCCACAUUGGGACUGAGACACGGCCCAAACUCCUACGGGAGGCAGCAGUGGGGAAUAUUGCACAAUGGGGGAAACCCUGAUGCAGCGACGCCGCGUGAGUGAAGAAGUAUUUCGGUAUGUAAAGCUCUAUCAGCGGGGAAGAAAAUGACGGUACCUGACUAAGAAGCCCCGGCUAACUACGUG
rnacentral:rRNA from 1 species